rnacentral:rRNA from 1 species
UACGAAGGGGGCUAGCGUUGCUCGGAAUCACUGGGCGUAAAGCGCACGUAGGCGGACUUUUAAGUCGGAGGUGAAAUCCUGGAGCUCAACUCCAGAACUGCCUUCGAUACUGAGAGUCUUCGAGUUCGGGAGAGGUGAGUGGAACUCCGAGUGUAGAGGUGAAAUUCGUAGAUAUUCGGAAGAACACCAGUGGCGAAGGCGGCUCACUGGCCCGGUACUGACGCUGAGGUGCGAAAGCGUGGGGAGCAAACAGG